rfam:Myotis lucifugus cont2.14915, whole genome shotgun sequence.
GAGAUACCCCUAUCGAGCAGGACUUGCUUUAGUGGGGCUUUAGUGCUCACUGAGUCUUCCCCUUGAGUGUGUCGCU